CCAAUAGCGUAUAUUAAAGUUGUUGCAGUUAAAAAGCUCGUAGUUGAAUUUCGGGAUCAAAGAAUCGGUCAUGCCUUGGUAUGUACUGGUUUUAUUGGUUCUCACCUUCUAAAGAACCAUGAUGUCAUUCAUUUGAUGUUAUGGGGAAUUAGGACUGUUACCUUGAAAAAAUUAGAGUGUUUAAAGCAAGCUUACGCUUGAAUACAUUAGCAUGGAAUAAUGAAAUAGGACAUCAGAUUCUAUUUUGUUGGUUUCUAGGAUCGAUGUAAUGAUUAAUAGGGAUAGUUGGGGGCAUUAGUAUUCAAUUGGCAGAGGUGAAAUUCUUGGAUUUAUUGAAGACUAACUACUGCGAAAGCAUUUGCCAAGGAUGUUUUCAUUAAUCAAGAACGAAAGUUAGGGGAUCGAAGACGAUCAGAUACCGUCGUAGUCUUAACCAUAAACUAUGCCGACUAGGGAUCGGAUGAUGUUAAUUUUUUAAUGACUCAUUCGGCACCUUACG
rnacentral:misc_RNA from 1 species